CAGAAUCACAGAAGAGACAAUAUCGAAGCUGAGGAAGCUCACCAGGCUGAGAAAAGGGAGCCGAGGUCAAACCAAGGAAAUGGGAAAACAGAAAACUCUCCCAUGGCAGUUUGGGGUAGUGGAGGCAGAACUCGAAACGGUGGAAGAGACUUUGAGAAUCAAAGAACUGCAGAGCAAGCGUGGAUGGUGAACAGUUUGACCUGGGGGUCAUCACCCAGGGAGGCAACGCGCUCCCAGAGCACCACAGGGAUCUGGUGAAACAGGAUCUGAAAUAGGAUGACCAGGAUGUAGAAAGACCCCUCAUUCCAAGUCUUCAACCAGAGGGCAAGAUAGUCUGUUGAUGCAGGAGGCAGUUCAAGAUGCACCAGAGAACAGAGAAAGCAGAAUAUGGAUCUGGAGGGGCAAAUAAAAGUCACAUACAACACCAAAUCCGCAUUGGGAUAUCUGGGUUUAGGCACAUCAAAGAGACCAACUGAAAACAAAAGACUUUGCAUUGGAUUUCUGCAUUUCCCAUGUAUGCAAAUAAUAUGAGAGGAGACAAGCAACGCGCGAGCAUCUCAAUCUUCCUCCUUCCAGAUCCUAACAGCAGCUGAC
ensembl:lncRNA